UCAAACAAGAUAUUGUCUGCAAGUAAACGCAUUUAUCUUGCCGUGACUAAACAAGAAUGGUACAUGUAUAACUCCGGUGUCCAUCAUUUCUAAAAUCGUGAUGUUAUUGAACAAGGAUCCUAUAUAAAGCUCUUAUAAAACACUUUGUACACAUUUAUAUUCGUACACGAUGAGAUUUACUCGUAUAUCGACUGUUAUAGCCAUUUUACUACAUAUUUGUAUUACAAAAAGUGAAGUAAAUAAUGAUGGUAGGGUUGUAUUAGUGUCUCCUGUUCUCGCUCCCUAUAGAAGUGGAAAAGCUCAAACAAAUGAAACGGCCAAAGAUUUUCCUAUACUAACAUUACUGGCCACCGACGGAAAAACAAAAGACAACGAAACAGAAUUGAAUACAAACUCCACGAUUCAGCAACCUAUUUACGUGCAAAAACUUAAAGACAACGCACCGCUUUUGAGGCGUCGUAGGAAAAUAAGCAGGAUCUACUUCGUACACAGAUACUAAUAUUACUUCUAUGAAUACAAAAAAAGACAAGAAAAACUUGAACAUCGAGAAUCGAUCAGCAUUAUUGCCGGAACGAAUUGUUUUGAUCGAAUCCUUCUUGAAAUAGGAGGAAAUAAACAAUGUGAUUGAACAUAAAGACACACGAGCAUAAUUCUUCAUACACACAUUUAAACAUUUUAUACCUUGUUAAUAAAAAUAAUUAAUUAAU